GGCCCUGGAGGAGGGUGGCUGGGGAGGAGGCCUGGCCUCUGGGCCCUCUCCUGGCCGUGUCCCCCGGCUCCGGUUCCGGCCAGGCCUCGCCGGAGGGUGGUGGUGGGGGGCUCCGUGCAGGUCCCUCCUCCCUGGUGCCAUGUUGAGGGCUGCUGGUGCAAAUGAAGAUGGAAUAAUCUUGACAGGAUAUACAGAAGAAAAGACUGCCUUCAGAUCCGGCAAGCUGCUCUGAAUGCAAAGGGAGCUCUGGAGCAUUUGUAAAGUAAUCCCUUUCAAAUGGUUUCCUUGCACUUUAAUGUUUCCUGUAUUGACAGCAAAAAAAAAAAAAAAAAAAGCUCUGAAUCACAAAAUAAUCACUUGUGAACAUAUCAUAGACCCCCAGAUGAUGAACAGCGGGGAUUUGUUUUUAAACUGAAUAAUUUGACUGUUCACACACAUAAAAAGAUAAUAAAACAGUUAUAAUUAUAAUUAUAAAUUAUGUCAUCAGUGCUUCUGGAAGUUUCCUGGAGUGGCUGUAGCUUUUUGAAAAGUCAUGUGUUUCCUAUACAGGUUGUAUUUUCUUUAUUUUUUAAUUCAGAGGAAGAAUGUUUAAGCACUUUAAAAGAUCAGUCCUAUUUCUGAAAAGAACAACACCAAUACAUUUUAAUGCUAAUGUUAACAUCAUCAGGAGCCCCCCGUGGUGCAGUGGGUUAAACUGCUGAGCUGCUGCACUUGCUGACCAAAAGGUCGGUGGUUUGAAUCUGGGGAGUGGGGUGAGUUACCACUGUUAGCCCCAGCUUCUGCUAAGCAAGCAAUUUGAAAAUAUGCAAGUGUGAGUAGAUCAAUAGGUACCGCUCCUAUUCUUCUGCCGCAGCUUCUGCCAACCCAGCAGUUUUGAAAACAAGCAAGUGUGAGUAGAUCAAUAUGUUGAAAGUAUUAUAAUGUUACAAAAUUAUAUUGUUCAUGUACCUUUAACAGGUAAUAUGCUUUGUCAAUUUGAUACAGGUGGAGCUGUGUUUGUUAUAUAUAUAUUCUUUGCACUUUGCACUCUGCCUGUUUUUUCUCUUUGAGUUUUGUUUUGUUCCUGCAUUAUGCUUCUGUAUUAAAUUAAGUUUGACCACA